CGGAUCUCGCGAUGUUUCAGGGUGAGCCGGACGCAGGCGUGCCUGCGCAGUGCGCGGAGGAGUGCUGUUCGUGUGUUCGAGUCCCUGGGUUGCUUCCUGGGGUCUGUGGUGCUGGGUGUGCUAUCUGCGUGUGAUUCUCUAGCGAGAGAUUGUGGGCGAGUGACCGAGUGGGCAAGGGGCCGUCACUGUGUGUGCGUGAUUUUGACAGUGUGUGGUGGUAGCUUCUGACUCCGCGUGGGUCGUUGAAUGUAUGACUGGGACCGUUUAGCGGUGGAUACACAACUGUGUGCGGCUGUGGAAGAUUGCCUCAUCCGUUACGUUCCCAUUUCCGUGGAACAACAGUUUUACCAGAAGGUUUCGAAGGAACCUUAAAGUUUGGAAGCGUAAGAGUUUAUCUGGCGGCUUUGGUGUCAUCAAAUGUGAGAAGCCCUGGACUUUACACAUCCCGAGCCAGUGUGAUCCAGUAUGAUUGGGAGUCCGAGUGCCAGAUGCCGGUCAGGACCUGUUAUGCUGGGUCUCAGAAUGCGGAAACUCUCCCUGUCCGAGGUGGAACAGUUUGUCCUUGAGUGAGGACUGGAGUCCUGAGUGACUCUUUUGAUUUGAUCCUGUUUCCCUCAAACCUGAGAUGGGAGCCUCACUGUAUUGCCCAGGCUGGUCUUGAACUCCGGAGCUCAAGUGAUCGUCUUGCUUCAGCCUUGCAAAAUGAUGGUGAAGCUGCAUCAUUGUCUGGGGUAAAUACCUGAGGUUCGUUGUCUCACGCCAAGGGAAUCAAGGACGUGGACACACAAGAAAUGGAGUCCCUGUCUGACCGGGCCAUGUUGUAUGUUCCUUGCUGUACACGUGGUUGACAAAGAAAAGGGAAGAUGGAGCUGCGAUGUUGGACAUGCCUGGCCCCCAGGACAUACAGCCCUGCCGAGCAAAUAAUGAACGUAACUCACAAACUUCCUGCUUAUCAUCAAACGCACGCAUCCACUUAUCAUCAAACACCUCGGGUGACAGAAGAAUGCAGGUCAGCUCCCUGCUGCCUUGGCAUUAUCAAUCAGCCCAGGAACCAUCCUAUAAAAUCUCCAGCAAGCCUUUGUUUCCUUGCAGUCAGCUCCUCUUCCACUGAUUCUGCCUGUUGCUCCCUGAUAACAUACUUUGAUACUGUCUUUAAUAAAUCUGCCUUUCUUCACCCACAGCUGUCUUGGUAAGUUCUUUUACCUCUGUGCCACCAGCCCAAACAGUUGCUGCUCACCUGAAACAAAGAAUAAAUGUGGUUUUUAAGCAAAUCAAAGUUUACUUAGUGACUCUUACCAAGCUUUGUAGAAGGUUGUGCCAAAAGGAGAAGCUUAAGAGAUAACGGCUAAAAAUAAAAAAUGUUACCACCGCCCAAGGGGUUCUUCCUGCCCACUGCAUAAAGAAA
rnacentral:lncRNA from 1 species